CUCACCUGUACGGCAGUCAGACUGAAAAGAGCACAAUGCCCUCAGUCAGCACAUUAUGACUUCACUCAGAAUGCAACACUACAGCAUCCCCCUGUCCCAGACCUUGAGCAGAGACCACCUUCAGCCCAGUGCUAUACAUGAAGACUCACAUUGGAUAUUAGGAAAAAUAUCUUCUCCCAAAGAGCAGUGACGCAGUGGCAGAGGCUGCCCAGGGAGGUGGGGGAUUCACCAUCCCUGGGAGUGUUCCAGGACCAUAGAGAUGUGGCACCUGGGGGCACGAGAGAAUGACUUUGCAAAAGAUGCUUUGGUCCUUCCCCAUCCUACAUACACACCCAUCUCACCUGCGAUUUAUGACAGCCCAUUCUGCAGGGGUCAGAUUGCCACAGAUAGCAGCUCCUCGGAUCAGUGCUGGAUGCUUUCUGAGAAGAAUGGCAUCAGGUUCAGCACACCGCCUUGCUGCAGUACCGCAUUGUUUGUGUCAGAAAGUAUUUUGGCUGCACAUUCUAGUAGGUACACAGAUGGGAUUCCAUAUUUGCAGUGAUACAGAAUAUUGUCCUCCUUUUCCACGCACAUUCUCACAAAGCCAGAACUGGCUGAGCUAAUUAUUCAGAUCACAGCAGCAUUAAUCAUUAAUCGUGGCAAUUCUCUGCAACUCCAAGCAAUGCGUUUCCACGCCAGAUUCAGAACAUCUGCUAUCUCAGGCAGAACACUGGAGAUGAUCUUUGUGCGGUGCUUAACCGAAAGCAAAUGUUACAGGGACUUCACCAUAACUCUCCCAGCCUGGGAGAGCAGGGUGGGGUAGAUGCAGGGAGCAGUGAUGCUCUGCAAGCUGUUCCUCCAAACAGACUCAGCAGCCUGCAGGGCAUUUGUACCUCUUGCACUCUUUGCAAUACCCCAAAAACCCAAUAAAUCAGCACAGUCACUUGUGUACAAGCUAGAAGUGCUUGACAUUCACCCGUCACAGCAAAGUACAGCCCCCUGCACUGGGCUGCUGCAUAGCUGUCCUCAAAGAUAUUGCAGGCUGCAGCCAAGCAGUGAACAGAGCAGCUCAUUGCUGUCCACAACCAGACAGCACCAGGAUCUGCGCAUGCAGCUCACAGCUGCCAGAGGCUCUGCUUGUGCUGACAGCACUGUUGUAUGGAGAGUUGCAGAAGGAGACAGAUUUUUGCUGCUCUGAAUCCCAGCCUGGCCCUGCAGCUGCUCACAGGAACACUGGUUGGAAGGGGGUGAGUAUAGUUUAGGGUUAGGGAUGAGGAAUCUUCUGCCUCCUGCCAAGAGGGGGAGCAGGGAGGUUGGGUUAUCCUGGAAUUCACUGUUCCUUCUUCCUCCCCACAAAACCACUUCUUUGCACAGCACUGCACUUCUUUGCCCAACUGAUGUGCUUCCCACAACAGGUGCCAAUGCUUGAGAUAAAAGCAAGAAAUCCCCCACACCUCAGAUGUGGUUUGUGGAGGUAAGCAGUUGGGUAACUCACAGUCACUCCACACAUAACCACUCAUGGGAAAUCAAAAGCAACUCAGCAGAGACGGAGUAUGUCAGAGAUGAAAAGAGAUUGCACGUUUCUUGCCCAAUCAUAAAGGAUUUCUGGUCUACGAUGAAGUUCACUGGAAAUACUGCUGAUCCAACAGUACGUCACCUUGAAGUAUUAACCUUUUAAUGACAUACAGUGGCUUACGCUGCUGGGCAAGAGAGAAGUAAAACGACAUGAAACCGUUCAGCGGUCAUCAGGGUCUGAUGGCAGAUUCAUGAGCAGAUCUGAAAGCAAUGCCUGCAGACCCCCAGGGCAAAGAGUGAUAAGGGGACAGCUUCAUGGUCUGCAUCUGCCAGACACAUCCAGGCAGCAGGAAGACAGGUCAGGGGGCACAUAGCAGACAUAGCUGUCCUGGCUAGGAGCUACUGACCAAGCUCAUUUCUGUGGGAAUGUGUGCAGAAGAUGAAUUAGGGACUGCAAAGACCAGAAGCAGGCAUGGAGGCUCUGCUAUCAAUGGCUGCAAAGCUUUUCCCUGCCCUCGAGCUCGGUACAUCUUGCUAAAGAAAUAUUUUCCCAGGAGGAAUUAGGCAGCACAGGGAAGCCUUCAGUCUCUUCAUCACCCAUUUGCUUAUUCUACUCUCUAGUGGAGGUCUCUGACAAAUGCCUGGAGGAGCUGUAUCCAUAAGGACAAGAUACAUCUUAUACCAACAGGGUACUGCAGCCAUGGAUAAGGCUGAAAAAGCAGGAAGUGCCCCUGGCAGAGGCAGGCAUGCUGUGGGUGUACUGCUAAUGAGCUUAAGUGGAACACUUUAGUCAAAGGCAUUCACAAGUUCCCAAGCUCUGACUGUAGCACCAACAGGCACCUGCUCAGCCUCUACCACGCUUCAUAGAGGGACAUUUCCACCAGCACCACCCUUACAGCAGUUCUACUAAGGCAGAACAGAGUGCUGCCAAAGAAGAGGUCAAGAGAGGAGUCAAUGUUCAACCAGCACAGGCCUCAGUAACGUGGGCUGUGCAACAAUAUGAUGGUCAUGGGGAAGCGACCAGCUGUCUCCUGGAAAUGGUGACCCCCAUGAGCUGCUCUCCUACAUGUUGGGACCUCUGUGCUCUCACAGAGAGAAAUGGGAACCAGGAAGACAGGAGCCACAAUAGGGCUGGCUAGGGAGAAGGCUCUUCUCAUCGCUUUGGACAGGGUUUGCCCAUUCAGACUUUUCAGUUGCCUUCUGCAGCUGUCAGUGCCUGAGCUGCUGAUCUCAGCAGCCUCUGCAAGCAAAGAAAGUCAUCCCUGCAGUGCAGCCCACCUGUUCCAUGUACCUGCCCUAGGGUGAGCUGUGGCCGUGACCAAACAGGAACCUACAUUCACAUGUACACACCUGCACUACAGAGAUCCACAUUUAGGUCAACUCCCAUCCUUGGCUUCCAGGUCUUGUGCUGUGCCAGCCACCAGAUGAAAACCCAGCAGGCAGGAUGAGCUCCAGCUUGGUGAGAUCACCUUCCUCCUGCUCCUGGACAGAUGUGGUACUUGGCAUGUGCUAUAGCAGUGCAUAACGCACAGCUUCUCAUGCAGACCCCACUGGCAAUUGAA